rnacentral:rRNA from 1 species
CCUACGGGUGGCAGCAGUGAGGAAUAUUGGUCAAUGGGCGAGAGCCUGAACCAGCCAAGUCGCGUGAGGGAGUACUGCCCUAUGGGUUGUAAACCUCUUUUGUCGGGGAGCAAAAGCCGGACGUGUCCGGCUGUGAGAGUACCCGAAGAAAAAGCAUCGGCUAACUCCGUGCCAGCAGCCGCGGUAAUACGGGGGAUGCGAGCGUUAUCCGGAUUUAUUGGGUUUAAAGGGUGCGCAGGCGGAUUUUUAAGUCAGCGGUAAAAUCGUGGGGCUCAACCCCAUCCAGCCGUUGAAACUGGGGAUCUAGAGUGUGCGAGAGGUAUGCGGAAUGCGUGGUGUAGCGGUGAAAUGCAUAGAUAUCACGCAGAACCCCGAUUGCGAAGGCAGCAUACCGGUGCACAACUGACGCUCAGGCACGAAAGCGUGGGUAUCGAACAGGAUUAGAUACCCCUGUACUC